GGGGGAUGCAUGCGGUCGAGCGCGCCUUCCGGCGACCGGGGUAAUGUGCAAUUACUAGCGAGACCGUCUCCUUCUCUACGGAUUGCCCAUUGGAAUCCAAAAUGAAUACCGUAUUGUAGAUUCGCUCCAUCGAUUUAUCGGACAGGGAUCGGUCCCUAUUAUAGUAGGUAGUGGGUGGGGUAACGGCCUACGGCCCCUAUGAUCUAUCGUCGGCUUUACAGGACGAUCAGCAACACUGGGACUGAUACCUAGACCCCACUCCUUGAGUAGGUGGCAAUGAGGAAUCUUGGAUGCUGGGCGCAAGCCUGAUCCCCUGACACCUCGUGAGUGAAGAAGGCCCUAAGGUCGUAAAGCUCUUUCGCCUGUCAAGAUAAUGACGGUACCUGGCAACUGAACCCCUGCUUUUUCCCUGUGGUAAGGUUCCUCGCGUAUCAUGGGGUUAAACUUGUUGCUAAUUACUGGGCGCGGGCCCCCGUAAUUCGAUUGAAUUUUGUCGGGCAAAUCCCGGCGCUCAACCCCGGAACUGCCUCUUUCGCUCCUGGUCUCAAAUCUUAGAGAGAUGAGUGGAACUAGUAACUGUCGAGGUGAAAUUCGUAGAUAUUCGGAAGAACAUCCUGGUCGCUAGCGGCUCUUUGGCUCGAUAUUGACG
rnacentral:rRNA from 1 species